AGAGGGAAAGAACCCAGACCUACAGCUAAGGUCCCUAAAUUUGUAUUAAGUUGAACUAAGGAGGUUCAGUUGCUUAGACAGCCAGGAUGUUGGCUUGGAAGCAGCCAUUCAUUUAAAGAGUGCGUAACAGCUCACUGGUCGAGCGACAGGGCAUCGAUAAUAAUCGGGCAUCAAGUGUAGUACCGAAGCUUAGGAUGUAUUUAUACAUGGUAGGGGAGCAUUCUCUUUGCAGAGAAGGUGUGCUGUGAGGCAUGCUGGAGCGUAGAGAAGCGCAAAUGUAGGCAUAAGUAACGAUAAGGCAGGAGAGAAACCUGCCCACCGAAAGACUAAGGUUUCCGCGGCAAUGCUAAUCAGCCGCGGGUUAGUCGGGACCUAAGGCGAAGCCGGAGGGCGUAGUCGAUGGACAAUCAGUUAAUAUUCUGAUACUACCUUAUAUAGCGACGGGGUGACGGAGUAGUGAAAGGUCCGCCCGGAGACGGAAUACCGGGUUAAAGGGUGUAGAUAUAGGACUUGCAGGCAAAUCCGCAAGUUUUGUCGAACCUGAUAGUACUACAAUCCUACGGGAGCGUAGAUAGUGACCCUAAUCAGACUUCCAAGAAAAACCUCUAGUAAUGUAUAAGGUACCCGUACCGUAAACCGACACAGGUAGUUGAGGAGAGAAUCCUAAGGUGCUCGAGUGAUUCAUGGCUAAGGAACUAGGCAAAUUCGAUCCGUAACUUCGGGAGAAGGAUCCCCUGACUAUGUCAGGGCGCAGUGAAAAGGCCCAAGCGACUGUUUACCAAAAACACAUG
rnacentral:rRNA from 1 species